ACAUACCCCAGAGGGUCUUCCUCUGAGUUUCCGCUUCCCUGGAACAGCUGGGGUCCUGGAGCAAAGAGAAGGCCUCUGCAGGGGCUCUGCGCCAGCAGGGGGAUUUCUAUCAGCUCUGGAGGGCUCAGCAGAGCAGAGAGUAAGGUCACAAGAGCAGCGUUGAACCCUUCUUUUCUGAGGGAUUCUCUUAGGGUCCCUGGGCCAUGGGAUUGGUUCCUGGAAGUGAUCUCUGAGCUCCUGGCCAGGCCUGAGGACUUGGCUGUCCAGCUCAGCUGUCCUGGGCCUAGUUUACACACACCUCAGGGAGAGGCUCUCUGCGGGCUGGGGCAAGAAGCGGGGUGUGGUUGUGGUGUGUCUGUGUGGGGCUGCGUGUGUGCAUGAGAGAAAAGGACGUGCCCUAAGGGCUCUGCGCUCGCUAUCAGAUUGGGAGGUUCUCACCAUUACUUCACCCAAAAGAUAGGGAGUCCGGGGUCUGGAGGGACUUGGAGCCUGUCCCACAGCCUUUAAGGACCGGACUCUCAUGUGGGGUCUCUCUGGACUUGAUUUCCCAUGAUUUUCACAUGUGUGAGCCUCUUCUCAUUUAGCCAUUUGGCAGGUGUGCCCCCAGACACUUGCUGUGGCCAGGCCCCGUCUGGACCAGGCAGUGGGACACAGGGCAUCGAGGCAGCUCUGCCGUCGGGAGGCCUCAGGGAAGAGAGGAGGAGAAGAGCCCAGGGGUCUCCAGGCAGCCUUUCUGAUCCCCCAGGAGCAGGCGGGGGUCCCCUCUUCUGUGUCACUCCACAACGCCGGGAGCUAGAAACCCCUUCUCCUUUCCCAGCUGGGCGUUCCUGUUGAUCAGCUCACCCCAGCCACUGGUCAGCGCCUGGCACAGCAGAGGGCUUGGCAGGCAAUUGUUGUGUGACUGUCGGAUACAAGGAAGGUGGAUCCUACCUUCCGUCCUUCCCUUUCCAUGAGGCAGGGCAAAUUGUCCCCAAAUGCCAACAGGCCACCCAAACCCCACCACACAGGCUGGUACGCCUUGGACCUCGCACAGACAAGGAUCAACAUACCUACGCCACAGAAGAGAGAACUAAAAUUUGGAGAGUGAGUAGCAUGCCUCACUCAGAGUGUGUUAGGGAUGAAGCUGAGGCUAGAAGCAGCGGGCCUGAGCUUCCACACCAGCUCUGGCCGUGGCUGCAGCCUGGCUGGAGCAGAAUGACUGCAUGGACGUUCAGUGCCCGGCCCUGCUUGGCCAGAGGUGGCUGGGAGCCCCUGAGGUGGGCAAGAAUGUCUGGGCUCAGGGAAUCACAGAGGAGUGUCUGCCUCCACCCACGCCUGUGUGUCUGUGCUCCGUCUUUCUUAGGCUAUCAUCCAUGGAGAGGCCCCUCACGGUCCUGCGGGUGAGCCUGCACCACCCCACGCCAGGCCCUGCCACCUUCGCCAAUGUCCCUCCGCAGCUAGAGCACGACACCAGCCCACUGCUGGUGGGCCGGGGCCUGGAUGCCCACCUCCGGCUGCAGCUCCCUCGCCUCUCCCGCCGGCACUUGUCACUGGAACCCUACCUGGAGAAGGGCGGUGCCCGGCUGGCCUUCAACUUGAAGGCUCUGAGCCGCAAGGGCUGCGUGUGGGUCAACGGGCUGACGCUGAGGUUCCUGGAGCAGAUGCCCCUGAGCACCGUCAACAGGGUCGCCUUCUCUGGCAUGCAGAUGGUGGUCCACAUCGAGGGAGGCACCUCCCUGGAGGCCUUUGUCUGCUGCUUCCAACUCAGCCCCUCGCCCCUGAUUUACAGGCUCCAGGCUGAGGAGACCGACGAAUGGGAAAUCAUCCCCCAGAAGCAGCCUCCCUCAGGUUCAGGGAAGCAGGCUCCGGGUCACCUGGGGUUUCUUGACAGCCCUUCCCAGCCCAGGCCUGGAGGAGCACCAGAAAUACAGCUCCAGAGGGAGCCCCCAGACAGUGCGCUCUGCUAGCCCCGCCGGCCACCCCGGAGCAAGCCUUAGCUGAAAUGGGGCUUGAAAUAGUCAAGCUACAUCAUGCAAGGUUGACAAGCCAGGCCUGCCGCGUAAUAAUGAACCUAUUCUGCAAGCAUGAGCCACCAGGGGUGAGGGGAGUGCCCUCCACAUCCACAGCUAUGCAAGAGGUGCCUUACGGCCAAGCGGUGCGGUAAAACUGCUUGCGGGAAAGAGUUUACGGCAAAGAUACAAGAUGCGGUUAAGGUUCUCGGAAGAGAGGACGCGGUUAAGAAGGCACAUCUUGGGGCCCAACCUGGACUUAUUGAGUCAAUUCUGGGAGUGGAUUUCAGGAAUCUGUAUCUCAGCAAGCUCUUCAGUACGUGGGCCUCUCACCAUUGUGGCCUCUCCCGUUGCGGAGCACAG